rnacentral:rRNA from 1 species
GCCAUCCAGGUUAACGCUGGGGACUCUAAAGGAACUGGCCUACGCAAGGUAGUGAGGAAGGCGGGGAUGACGUCAAAGUCAGCACGGCCCUUACGUCCAGGGCCUACACACGUGGCUACAAUGGCCGAUACAGAGGGCAGCUACCUGGUGACCAGGAGUGCAAAAUCCUACCAAAGUCGGUCUCAGUUCGGAUCGGAGUCUGCCAACCCGACUCCGUGAAGUUGGAUUCGCUAGUAAUCGCGCAUCAGCCAUGGCGCGGUGAAUACGUUCCCGGGCCUU